GUGAGUGUAGCUCAACGGUUAGAGCAUCGGACUGUGGAUCCGAAGGUUGGGGGUUCAAGUCCCCUCACUCACCCCU
rnacentral:tRNA from 1 species